GCGCGGUUAGUUCAGUGGUUAGAAUUCUCGUUUCCCAUCUUAUCAACGUGGUCCAGCGAGGGACUCGAGUUCGAAUCUCGGAUCGCGCA